rnacentral:lncRNA from 1 species
ACAUAGCGCUUAAGGUAAGGAGGCUUUAGUUAGCGGCCCUGUAAACUCAGCUCAAGUGUUUCAAGUAAACAGACUAAUUACAACAGCACUGGAAGGACCAGCAUGUUUGCUCUGGGAGUGCAGCAAGCAUUGUUUUCUCAAAGCUACUGCAGGACCUUGGAGGCCUCUUAGCUCAGCAGCUACUACAGCUGCAACCCUUACAACAUAAGAGUUGGUGAUUGGUGGAGUGAUGAGGAAGCCCAGAGAAAACCACAGAAAAGGUAAUACAACUCGUGAUGUACAGAGUGGAGUACAGAGAAGUUGCGGCUCACUGAAAUUAAGAUGAGUCUCCCAGUUGUGUAAACUACUAACAGAUAGUCACUUUCAAAAAGUGAUCAAAUAAUUGAAUCACCAGAGAUAUAUUAAAGGGCUUCCCUGUGGCUCAGAUGGUAGAGCAUCUGUCUGCAAUGUGGGAGAUCCAGGUUUGAUCCCUGGGCAGGG